GACAGAGGUUGCAAGCGUUGUUCGGAAUUACUGGGCGUAAAGGGCGUGUAGGCGGUUGAGUAUGUCUGACGUGAAAUCCCUCGGCUUAACUGGGGAAGUGCAUCGGAAACUGCUCGACUGGAGUGCGAGAGAGGGUGGCGGAAUUCCUAGUGUAGAAGUGAAAUUCGUAGAUACUAGGAGGAACACCUGUGGCGAAGGCGGCCACCUGGCUCGUAACUGACGCUGAGACGCGAAAGCGUGGGGAGCAAACAGG
rnacentral:rRNA from 1 species